GUGCACCAGUCGAGAAACCUUCGCAAUGCAGGAAACUGCGACGAGGGAACUCCAAGUGCCUACGCUCAGCGUAGGCUGUUCUCAAGCCUAGAAAGCUUGAGGAGUAAGGGCUGGGUAAGACGGGUGCCAUCUGUGGUAGCAGUCAAUAGAUUCGAUUUGUUACUGCAAGGCGAUAAGCCGCCGCGGUAAUACCCGCAACCCAAGUGGUGGCCGCUUUUAUUGGGCCUAAAGCGUCCGUAGCCGGCCCGGUAAAUGCCUGGGUAAAUCGUGGAGCCCAACUUCACGAAUUCCGGGUAGACUGCCGAGCUCGGGACCGAAGAGGGAGAGGGGUACUUCAGGGGUAGGGGUGAAAAUUUCCUUUCCAUUAACGGCUUUUGCGCG
rnacentral:rRNA from 1 species